CCUACGGGAGGCUGCAGUGGGGAAUAUUGCGCAAUGGGGGCAACCCUGACGCAGCAACGCCGCGUGAUUGAAGAAGGCCUUCGGGUUGUAAAGAUCUUUAAUCCGGGACGAAUUUUGACGGUACCCGAAGCAUAAGCUCCGGCUAACAACGUGCCAGCAGCCUCGGUAAUACGGAGGGACCAAGCGUUAUCCGGAUUUACUGGGUGUAAUCGGCGUGUAGGCGGGCAUGCAAGUCAUAAGUGAAAUCUCGGGGCUUAACGCCGGAACUGCUUUUGGAACUGCGUAUCUUGAGUGAGGGAGAGGCAGGCGGAAUUCCCGGUGUAGGGGUGAAAUGCGUAGAUAUUGGGAGGAACACCAGUGGCGAAGGCGACCAGCUGGACAUUAACUGACGCUGAGGAGCGAAAGCGUGGGGAGCAAACAGGAUUAGAUACCCGGGUAGUC
rnacentral:rRNA from 1 species